UCCCUGGUGGUCCAGCAGUUAAGACUCUGCACUUCCAGUGCAGGGAGCACAGGUUUGAUCCCUGGUCAGGGAA
rfam:Ovis aries breed Texel chromosome 3, whole genome shotgun sequence.